GUCCAGACUCCUACGGGAGGCAGCAGUGGGGAAUAUUGCACAAUGGGGGGAACCCUGAUGCAGCGACGCCGCGUGAGCGAUGAAGUAUUUCGGUAUGUAAAGCUCUAUCAGCAGGGAAGAAAAUGACGGUACCUGACUAAGAAGCCCCGGCUAACUACGUGCCAGCAGCCGCGGUAAUACGUAGGGGGCAAGCGUUAUCCGGAUUUACUGGGUGUAAAGGAAGCGUAGACGGCUGUGCAAGCCAGAUGUGAAAGCCCGGGGCUCAACCCCGGGACUGCAUUUGGAACUGCGUGGCUUUAGUGUCGGAGGGGCAGGCGGAAUUCCUGGUGUAGCGGUGAAAUGCGUAGAUAUUAGGAGGAACACCAGUGGCGAAGGCGGUCUGCUGGACAGCAACUGACGCUGAGGCGCGAAAGCGUGGGGAGCAAACAGGAUUAGAUACCCCUGUA
rnacentral:rRNA from 1 species